UACGAAGGUGGCAAGCGUUGUUCGGAUUCACUGGGCGUACAGGGAGCGUAGGCGGUUGGGUAAGCCCUCCGUGAAAUCUCCGGGCCUAACCCGGAAAGUGCAGAGGGGACUGCUCGGCUUGAGGACGGGAGAGGAGCGCGGAAUUCCCGGUGUAGCGGUGAAAUGCGUAGAGAUCGGGAGGAAGGCCGGUGGCGAAGGCGGCGCUCUGGAACGUUUCUGACGCUGAGGCUCGAAAGCUAGGGGAGCAAACAGG
rnacentral:rRNA from 1 species